AUCCAACUAUCGAGUCGCAAAUAGGACGAAACGCGCGUCAAACUAGAU
rnacentral:hammerhead_ribozyme from 1 species